rnacentral:rRNA from 1 species
GACGAACGCUGGCGGCGUGCUUAACACAUGCAAGUCGAACGGAAAGGCCCUGCUUUUGUGGGGUGCUCGAGUGGCGAACGGGUGAGUAACACGUGAGUAACCUGCCCUUGACUUUGGGAUAACUUCAGGAAACUGGGUCUAAUACCGGAUAGGAGCUCCUGCUGCAUGGUGGGGGUUGGAAAGUUUCGGCGGUUGGGGAUGGACUCGCGGCUUAUCAGCUUGUGGGUGGGGUAGUGGCUUACCAAGUCUUUGACGGGUGGCCGGCCUGAGAGGGUGACCGGGCACAUUGGGACUGAGAUACGGCCCAGACGGCAACGGGAGGCAGCAGUGGGGAGUAUUGCACAAUGGGCGGAAGCCUGAUGCAGAGACGCCGCGUGCGGGAUGACGGCCUUCGGGUUGUAAACCGCUUUCGCCUGUGACGAAGCGUGAGUGACGGUAAUGUGUAAAGAAGCACCGGCUAACUACGUG